rnacentral:rRNA from 1 species
CCUACGGGAGGCAGCAGUAGGGAAUCUUCCACAAUGGGCGAAAGCCUGAUGGAGCAACGCCGCGUGGGUGAAGAAGGUCUUCGGAUCGUAAAACCCUGUUGUUAGAGAAGAAAGUGCGUGAGAGUAACUGUUCACGUUUCGACGGUAUCUAACCAGAAAGCCACGGCUAACUACGUGCCAGCAGCCGCGGUAAUACGUAGGUGGCAAGCGUUAUCCGGAUUUGUUGGGCGUAAAGGGAACGCAGGCGGUCUUUUAAGUCUGAUGUGAAAGCCUUCGGCUUAACCGGAGUAGUGCAUUGGAAACUGGGAGACUUGAGUGCAGAAGAGGGGAGUGGAACUCAAUGUGUAGCGGUGAAAUGCGUAGAUAUAUGGAAGAACACCAGUGGCGAAAGCGGCUCUCUGGUCUGUAACUGACGCUGAGGUUCGAAAGCGUGGGUAGCAAACAGGAUUAGAUACCCGAGUAGUC